rnacentral:rRNA from 1 species
AGCGAACGCUGGCGGCAGGCCUAACACAUGCAAGUCGAGCGGCCGUAGCAAUACGGCAGCGGCAGACGGGAGAGUAACACGUGGGAACGCGCCCUUCGGUCUGGAAUAACCCAGGGAAACUUGGGCUAAUACCGGAUACGCCCUUACGGGGAAAGAUUUAUUGCCGAAGGAACGGCCCGCGUCCGAUUAGCUAGUUGGUGAGGUAACGGCUCACCAAGGCGACGAUCGGUAGCUGGUCUGAGAGGAUGACCAGCCUCACUGGGACUGAGACACGGCCCAGACUCCUACGGGAGGCAGCAGUGGGGAAUAUUGGACAAUGGGCGCAAGCCUGAUCCAGCCAUGCCGCGUGGGUGAUGAAGGCCCUAGGGUUGUAAAGCCCUUUCAGCGGGGAAGAUAAUGACGGUACCCGCAGAAGAAGCCCCGGCUAACUUCGUGCCAGCAGCCGCGGUAAAAC